ACGGAAGGCAGCAGUGGGGAAUAUUGCACAAUGGGGGGAACCCUGAUGCAGCGACGCCGCGUGAGUGAAGAAGUAUUUCGGUAUGUAAAGCUCUAUCAGCAGGGAAGAGAAUGACGGUACCUGACUAAGAAGCACCGGCUAAAUACGUGCCAGCAGCCGCGGUAAUACGUAUGGUGCAAGCGUUAUCCGGAUUUACUGGGUGUAAAGGGAGCGCAGGUGGCCUGGCAAGCCAGAAGUGAAAGCCCGGGGCUUAACCCCGGGACUGCUUUUGGAACUGUUGGGCUGGAGUGCAGGAGGGGCAAGCGGAAUUCCUGGUGUAGCGGUGAAAUGCGUAGAUAUCAGGAGGAACACCGGUGGCGAAGGCGGCUUGCUGGACUGUAACUGACACUGAGGCUCGAAAGCGUGGGGAGCAAACAGGAUUAGAUACCCUGGUA
rnacentral:rRNA from 1 species